AGUGAACGCUGGCGGUAGGCCUAACACAUGCAAGUCGAACGGCAGCACAGUAAGAGCUUGCUCUUACGGGUGGCGAGUGGCGGACGGGUGAGGAAUACAUCGGAAUCUACUUUUUCGUGGGGGAUAACGUAGGGAAACUUACGCUAAUACCGCAUACGACCUACGGGUGAAAGCAGGGGAUCUUCGGACCUUGCGCGAUUGAAUGAGCCGAUUUCGGAUUAGCUAGUUGGGGGGGUAAAGGCCCACCAAGGCGACGAUCCGUAGCUGGUCUGAGAGGAUGAUCAGCCACACUGGAACUGAGACACGGUCCAGACUCCUACGGGAGGCAGCAGUGGGGAAUAUUGGACAAUGGGCGCAAGCCUGAUCCAGCCAUACCGCGUGGGUGAAGAAGGCCUUCGGGUUGUAAAGCCCUUUUGUUGGGAAAGAAAAGCAGCAGGUUAAUACCCCGCUGUUCUGACGGUACCCAAAGAAUAAGCACCGGCUAACUUCGUG
rnacentral:rRNA from 1 species